rnacentral:rRNA from 1 species
UAUUAAUACUAAUAUAUUUAUAAUGAUAUCUGGUAUAAUAGUAAUAGGCUAUCGUAUAUAUAAUGCCCAUAUUGUAUUUAUAGUAAUAUAUCCUUUAUU